rnacentral:lncRNA from 1 species
CAAUACCCUAUUGAUCCACUUCAGAAGCGGGUUCUCCUAUUGGAGAAGGUUAAAGCAGACAAGAAGGGAUCAACUGAAGCUGCAAAGCCUCAAACAAAGAGAGCUCGUGCCAAUGGUGCAGGAUAUGGUCCACGAGUCACUAAUGUAGCUGCUGACAAACCAUUCUAUUCUAGAACCACUGAUAAGUACCCGCAGUACGUUUAUGACAGACCUUAUGUUUACUCCGGACCUGCUGACAACCACGGCCCCUCUCUUCUUGGUUCUGCCACCUACAACUUCUCUCCAAGUCAUGGUAACUACUUCGGCUACCAGUAUCAGGUUCCCUAUCUUCACUAAUUUCCCAAAAAAUGGCA